rnacentral:rRNA from 1 species
GAUGAACGCUGGCGGCGUGCCUAAUACAUGCAAGUCGAGCGAACAGACGAGGAGCUUGCUCCUCUGACGUUAGCGGCGGACGGGUGAGUAACACGUGGAUAACCUACCUAUAAGACUGGGAUAACUUCGGGAAACCGGAGCUAAUACCGGAUAAUAUAUUGAACCGCAUGGUUCAAUAGUGAAAGACGGUUUUGCUGUCACUUAUAGAUGGAUCCGCGCCGCAUUAGCUAGUUGGUAAGGUAACGGCUUACCAAGGCGACGAUGCGUAGCCGACCUGAGAGGGUGAUCGGCCACACUGGAACUGAGACACGGUCCAGACUCCUACGGGAGGCAGCAGUAGGGAAUCUUCCGCAAUGGGCGAAAGCAUGACGGAGCAACGCCGCGUGAGUGAUGAAGGUCUUCGGAUCGUAAAACUCUGUUAUUAGGGAAGAACAAAUGUGUAAGUAACUAUGCACGUCUUGACGGUACCUGAUCAGAAAGCCACGGCUAACUACGUG